GAUGAACGCUGGCGGCGUGCCUAAUACAUGCAAGUCGAGCGAACAGACGAGGAGCUUGCUCCUCUGACGUUAGCGGCGGACGGGUGAGUAACACGUGGAUAACCUACCUAUAAGACUGGGAUAACUUCGGGAAACCGGAGCUAAUACCGGAUAACAUGUUGAACCGCAUGGUUCAACAGUGAAAGACGGUCUUGCUGUCACUUAUAGAUGGAUCCGCGCCGCAUUAGCUAGUUGGUAAGGUAACGGCUUACCAAGGCAACGAUGCGUAGCCGACCUGAGAGGGUGAUCCGCCACACUGGAACUGAGACACGGUCCAGACUCCUACGGGAGGCAGCAGUAGGGAAUCUUCCGCAAUGGGCGAAAGCCUGACGGAGCAACGCCGCGUGAGUGAAGAAGGUCUUCGGAUCGUAAAACUCUGUUAUUAGGGAAGAACAAAUGUGUAAGUAACUAUGCACGUCUUGACGGUACUUAAUCAGAAAGCCACGGCUAACUACGUG
rnacentral:rRNA from 1 species